GAUCCUGGCUCAGGACGAACGCUGGCGGCGCGCCUAACACAUGCAAGUCGAACGAGAGAUGAGGAGCUUGCUCUUCAAAUCGAGUGGCGAACGGGUGAGUAACGCGUGAGGAACCUGCUUCAAAGAGGGGGACAACAGUUGGAAACGACUGCUAAUACCGCAUAAGCCCACGGCUCGGCAUCGAGCAGAGGGAGAAGGAGUGAUCCGCUUUGAGAUGGCCUCGCGUCCGAUUAG
rnacentral:rRNA from 1 species